rnacentral:rRNA from 1 species
UGGGGAAUUUUGGACAAUGGGCGAAAGCCUGAUCCAGCAAUGCCGCGUGUGUGAAGAAGGCCUUCGGGUUGUAAAGCACUUUUGUCCGGAAAGAAAUCCUUGGCUCUAAUACAGUCGGGGGAUACGGUACCGGAAGAAUAAGCACCGGCUAACUACGUGCCAGCAGCCGCGGUAAUACGUAGGGUGCAAGCGUUAAUCGGAAUUACUGGGCGUAAGCGUGCGCAGGCGGUUUGCUAAGACCGAUGUGAAAUCCCCGGGCUCAACCUGGGAACUGCAUUGGUGACUGGCAGGCUAGAGUAUGGCAGAGGGGGGUAGAAUUCCACGUGUAGCAGUGAAAUGGCGUAGAGAUGGUGGAGGAAUACCGAUGGCGAAGGCAGCCCCCUGGGCCAAUACUGACGCUCAUGCACGAAAGCGU